rnacentral:rRNA from 1 species
GUCCACGCCGUAAACUAUGAACACUAGGUGUGGGGGGUAUCGACCCCCUCCGUGCCGCAGCUAACGCAAUAAGUGUUCCGCCUGGGGGAGUACGGCCGCAAGGCUAAAACUCAAAGGAAUUGACGGGGGCCCGCACAAGCAGCGGAGCGUGCGGUUUAAUUCGUCGCAACGCGAAGAACCUUACCAAGGCUUGACAUGCUGGUGGUACUGAUCCGAAAGGAAGGGACCCUUCGGGGAGCCAGCACAGGUGCUGCAUGGCUGUCGU